GCCUGCCUGGCUUAGUUGGUAAAGCAUGUGACUCUCAGUCUCAGGGUCACGAGUUCAAACCUCACGUUGGGUG
rnacentral:tRNA from 1 species